CCAGACUCCUACGGGAGGCAGCAGUGGGGAAUAUUGCACAAUGGGGGAAACCCUGAUGCAGCGACGCCGCGUGAGUGAAGAGGUAAUUCGUUAUGUAAAGCUCUAUCAGCAGGGAAGAAAAUGACGGUACCUGAGUAAGAAGCCCCGGCUAACUACGUGCCAGCAGCCGCGGUAAUACGUAGGGGGCAAGCGUUAUCCGGAUUUACUGGGUGUAAAGGGCGUGUAGGCGGGAGAGCAAGUCAGACGUGAAAUUCCAGGGCUCAACCCUGGAACUGCGUUUGAAACUGUUCUUCUUGAGUGAUGGAGAGGCAGGCGGAAUUCCGUGUGUAGCGGUGAAAUGCGUAGAUAUACGGAGGAACACCGGUGGCGAAGGCGGCCUGCUGGACUGCAACUGACGUUGAGGCCCGAAAGCGUGGGGAGCAAACAGGAUUAGAUACCCCGGUAUA
rnacentral:rRNA from 1 species